ensembl:lncRNA
UAGAGCACAAAUAUGGGGGCCACCUCAUCUCACGCCGUGCUGCUUGCAAGAUCCAGACGGCUUUUCGCCAGUAUCAGCUCAGCAAAAACUUUGAGAAGAUCCGAAACUCCCUCCUUGAAAGUCGUUUGCCACGCCGUAUCUCCCUGCGAAAAGUGCGGGUGCAAAAUACAGAGGGUAUCUCAGCUGAACGGGCGCUGGCUGAAGGCUGCAAUCUGGCAAGUAUCCCCCUUGUCCGGUCCCCAUCCUUGCCCACCACGGUAGGUGGCUCCCUCACUGACCUUGAAGAUUCCUUCAAUGAGCAAGUCCAGUCUCUUGCCAAAUCCAUUGAUGAUGCACUUAGCAACUGGAGCAUGAAGACCAUGUGUUCACUCCAAGAAGGUGGCGCCUACCAGUUUAGCUCAGAGGCCUUUAGUACAGCUGGUGGCAAAUCUGGGUUGGCAGGAACAGUCCGAGAAGGUGGCCCCAUGGACCCUGCCACAUUCCAUAGCGGAACAGGCCAAGUAGACAAUUCUGAGAACAUAGCCCGGAGUGCCAGCAAGCUGAUGAUGGCCUUCCGGGAUGUAACAGUUCAAAUUGACAGCAAGAACUUUCACAUGUCCACCUCUGUUUCUCUCGGUAAUUGUGUCCAGCAGGGGGCCAUAAUUACUGAGAGCCCACAGCAACCUCUGAUCAGUGAUGCAGAGGAACAACCCCAACAAGGACAACCGCCACCAUCUCCACAGGAUCCAGCUCCUCCACCCCUAGAGCAGGAUGCUGAGGAAAUACCAGAUGGCGAUUUCCCAGCUCCUCCACCAAGUGAGGAGGAGCUUGGGGAGGAUCUUCCACCUCUGGUCAUGGAGAAACAGGAAGUUCCAGAACCAGCAAUUCCAGUAGAGACAGCAAUAACCUCUGAAACCUUGCCUCCACCAGAGGUUGCAGAGACGCCAGUCACCCCAAUUGUAGAGGUUUUGGAAGCUAAGCGAAUUGAGUCAGACACAGCGGACAACAGCUCAGAGCAGAUGAGUAGCAGCAGUACAUCCACAUCAGCUCAAUCGGCUUCUGAGGUCUCGUCCAAAGAGGC